rnacentral:rRNA from 1 species
UACGUAGGUGGCAAGCGUUGUCCGGAUUUACUGGGCGUAAAGAGCGCGCAGGCGGUCGAUCAAGUCGCGUGUGAAAGCCCCCGGCUCAACUGGGGAGGGUCACGCGAUACUGAUCGACUCGAAGGCAGGAGAGGGUAGUGGAAUUCCCGGUGUAGUGGUGAAAUGCGUAGAGAUCCGGAGGAACACCAGCGGCGAAGGCGGCGUCCUGGACUGGUACUGGACGCUCAGGAGCGAAAGCGUGGGGAGCGAGUCCGG